CCUACGGGAGGCAGCAGUGAGGAAUAUUGGUCAAUGGCCGAGAGGCUGAACCAGCCAAGUAGCGUGAGGGAUGACUGCCCUAUGGGUUGUAAACUUCUUUUGUCUGGGAGUAAAGUGUUGCACGUGUGCGGUUUUGUGUGUACCAUGUGAAUAAGGAUCGGCUAACUCCGUGCCAGCAGCCGCGGUAAUACGGAGGAUCCGAGCGUUAUCCGGAUUUAUUGGGUUUAAAGGGAGCGUAGGUGGAUUGUUAAGUCAGUCGUGAAAGUUUGCGGCUCAACCGUAAACGUGCCGUUGAAACUGGCAGUCUUGAGUAGACGAGAGGUGCGCGGAAUGCGUGGUGUAGCGGUGAAAUGCUUAGAUAUCACGAAGAACUCCGAUUGCGAAGGCAGCGUACUGGACCGCAACUGACACUGAGGCACGAAAGCGUGGGUAUCAAACAGGAUUAGAUACCCGUGUAGUC
rnacentral:rRNA from 1 species